UAGGGAUUGAGGUAUUUGUUGAAGCUCUUUUUGUGUUGUUGCGCUUAUGCAACACAAAAAAGCGACUGCCGAAAGCCCGACCCUUU
rnacentral:sRNA from 1 species